CUGUUUCAGUAGUGCUAUCGUGUUACUGUUGUGCUGCUGUCAUGUUUCUAUAAUGUUGCUACCAAGCUGCUGUUAUGUUACUGUCAUGUUGCUGUUACUCCUGGUCCCCUGUCACUCAGAGUGCCCUGCCUUGCCAUUCAGAGGAACCAGGAUUUGACCUCGUCUCAGACCCUACCCUCUUAACCAUUCCUGCCACCUUGGCUGUGACUGCAGUCUGCAGUGGUGGGGGCUCUAAAGCCGGUGGCAGAUGUCAACAUGGGUCCAUCGUCCUCUGCUGUCUGUCCAGCUGCGAACAGCCCACUGCAGCGUCUGGGUCACCUGGUUCGAGAAGACACCUCAGGACAGCUUCAGCAAGGCCACCCCACAGUUGAACUGGAGUAUAUGGACCAGAAAGGAGCCCUCGGACAUCAGCUUAUCCAACCCUUCUUGAAACAGGUAGGGAGACAGGACCAGAGAAGGUGUGUGGCCCUCUCAAGGACACCCAGCAGGAUCCAGCCCAAAGACUUCCAUUCAGAGAGGUUUCCCUCCACUUAACACUGAUUUCCCACUUGGUACCACACCAAGCUCCUCCCCAGAGUCUGCUCGCCCUGCCCCCACCCCUUCCCAACCUCAUUUCCCUCCAGUUUUGUCCUCACACUCUCUCCAGCCACACCGCUUUCUUGUUGUUCCUCUAACACACCAGUCGCACCCCUCCCGCCAUCGCAGGGCCUUUCCUCCUGCUGUUCCCUCCACCAGGACUGCUCCUGCCCUAUUCCCCCACUUCCUUUAGGCCACAGAUCUCAAGCCCCCUUCUCAGAGAGGUCUUCUGGGCCAUGCAAAAGAAAAGCACCCUGCCCCCAAUCAUGUUCCCUCCUGUUACUUGCUUUAGCCUUAAGCUUAGUUGCCUCAACUGUAAAAUGAGGACAGUAAUAGUACCCCUGGUGGGCUUGUGGGCAGGAUUAAAUGAGCUAAUAUUUAUAAAGCUCUUAG